UUUCCGUAGGUGAACCUGCGGAAGGACCAUUAUCGAGCAAGAGUCCCUCGGGGCCCGACCUCCCAACCCUUGUGUCUACCACACCACGUUGCUUUGGCGGGCCCGCCUCCCUCACGGGGCCGCCGGAGGUCCCCACGGACCCCUGGCCCGUGCCCGCCAACGGCCUACGCACAAAAUCUGACAACGAACCGUGACUGUCUCAGUUUAAAAAUAAAUUAUGAAAAACUUUCAACAACGGAUCUCUUGGUUCUG
rnacentral:misc_RNA from 1 species